GAUGAAGAACAUAGCGAAAUGCGAUAAGUAAUGUGAAUUGCAGAAUUCAGUGAAUCAUCGAAUCUUUGAACGCACAUUGCGCCCGCCAGUAUUCUGGCGGGCAUGCCUGUUCGAGCGUCAUUUCAACCAUCAAGCCCCCGGGCUUGUGUUGGGGACCUGCGGCUGCCGCAGGCCCUGAAAAGCAGUGGCGGGCUCGCUGUCACACCGAGCGUAGUAGAUUUUAUCUCGCUCUGGGCGUGCUGCGGGUUCCGGCCGUUAAACCACCCUUUUAACCCAAGGUUGACCUCGGAUCAGGUAGGAAGACCCGCUGAACUUAAGCAUAUCAAUAAGCGGAGGA
rnacentral:misc_RNA from 1 species